CGCCUUUUCUACCGUUGGAAGAAAUGCAAGAUGCGGCGACUUGACUUCAGACACCGAGAGAGGCUGGCGGCCCAGGUCUUGUGGCCACAUCUGUCCAAGCUCCUACUCUGAUUGAACAGUUGGAUGAUCAGACUGAUGAUGAAAAGUGCUACACAGUUCUCACACAUCUUCUGACUCCGAAGCCGCUGCAGUGUAAAAUCUGAGAUGUCUUUUCUGGUUGAUUUUGUGCAGGUAUUUUUCAAAGGAUAGUUACUUUUAAAAACGUCUUUUAAUCUUUAAAAACACUUUCAUGCAGAGCCUCUGUUAGGACCUCAUUGCGAUACAGAGUUAUGACCUUGUCACCAAAAUGUCAAUGACCAUAUUUUAACCUGCUAUUUAAGGCUGCCAUAGCCAUAUUCUUAUAACAAUGCAGUUAAGUUCAAGAGAACUAUAGUUU